CUACCUUUCUCUUCCCCAAACUUCUCUCAUUUUCAUUUCCACACACCUCAAAUGGCAACAGCUUUCUCUGCUGCCAACUUCACCUCCCAUCUUUUCGACCUCAAUGGAUCUUCUGACAGGCGUCUCUUUGAUCCUCUCAAACCUCCACCUACCACCUCUUUCUUCGGAUCUACCCGCAAACUUCGAUUCGAUUCUCGUGCCGCAUCGAAUCGACUGGACGCCCGCCGUCGAUCUGCUGUCGUUGCCGUUUCCGACGUCGUUAAGGAGAAGAAGCUCAAGCAGAGCUCGAAUCUGGUACUUCCCUGAUCUGUUCCGUGUGAAAAUGCUUUCGAGAUUUUGCUUCUGUUGAUUUGUUUCCCUCUCUGCGUUUUCGUUCUCUUGUGAAACUCUCUCUGUCUGCGAAAUCUUAUUUAUCUAUUUUUAAAGCAGGAAUGAGAAGUUUGAAGCUAACUGAAGUAUAGCUCUGAAUUAGAAAAUUUAUAUUUUUUAAGUAUGUUUUGCUGUCUAUGGAGCAUUGAUGAAAAAAAUUUUGUCCCAAUUUUCAUUUCAAGCUACGUGCUACAAUUAUGCUUUAAAUGCGAAUACUUUCUGUUUUCUUUGUGUUUAAUAUAGCGUCGAUUACCAAUUGUAUAUUCAUUUUCUCAAUGUUACGGGUCUUACCUGAAUACAGAAGGAUUUGCAUUUUGUUGGUGAAAAUUUUUGGUAAUGCAUCAGUCAGUUUCUUUGGGUACAAGGAAAAUUGUUUCUUGGAACAAAAUUAUGAUUGGAAAAGAAAAAAGAGCCU
rnacentral:lncRNA from 1 species